GCGAUAAACUUCCUAAUGGAAAUCAACACGCGUGGAUGGUGAAAGUUUCAAAGAAUCGUUAGAAUGGAUAUCAUACCUUGUAUUAAAUGGGUUCAGCGUGGCAUAGCAAAGAGUAUACCCGAUAAAGUUAAAUUAAGUGAGGAAGAAUUGAAGCGAAUUAUUGAGGACACCAAAGAUAAAAUAGAUUUGGCUAAUGAUGAAGAUGAUGAUCAAGAGGAAGAAGAGGAGGAAGGAAGUGAUAUGGAAGAGGAAGUGAAUGCUGUAAACAAAUCUAAUGCUGCCAAAAGUGGUGGUAAACGCAAAAUGGAUGACGAUGAUGAUGAGGAAGAGGAUAUUGAAACAAAAUAUGACCUUGCAGACUAUGACAAUGAGGAUGAAAUUGACAUGCUGAAGGGCAUUGGUGAUCUGACAUAUUUUGCUUCCAAUGAAGAUGAUCCUUAUGUCACAAUGAAAGAUGAGGGAGACAGUGAUGAUGAAGAUUUUGAAAUCAAAGCCACAGAUAACCUGAUAGUUGUAGCCAAAGCAGAGAAAGAAUUCUGUUGUUUAGAAGUAUAUGUGUACAAUGAGGAUCUUGGGAACCUAUAUGUGCACCAUGAUAUUUUGUUAUCCUCGUUUCCAUUGGCUGUAGAAUGGUUGAAUUAUGAUAUAGGGGAAGACAAGCCAGGGAACUUUGUGGCUGUUGGAUCCAUGGAGCCUGUGAUAGAAAUCUGGGAUUUGGACCUGGUGGACUCAGUAGAACCUGUGGCAGUCCUGGGCACUAAAGCCAAGUCAAAAGGCAAAAAGCAAAAGAAAAGUGACAGUCAUACAGAUGCGGUGCUAAAUUUGUCCUGGAAUGCUCAAGUCAGAAAUGUGCUAGGGAGUGCUUCAGCAGAUUGUACAGUCAAACUGUGGGACCUGUCAGAGGGCAAGCCAGUGACAACCAUCACACAGCACAAAGACAAAGUGAGUGAAGCUAUUACUGUACUCCAUUAUAAACCUUGGAACUUCAGAUUGCUCUAGCUACAGUAAAAUGUGGUUACUGUGAAUUCCUUACUUUACGCAACUACUUAAUUCUGCAAUUCCAAUUGUUCAAAACUAUCUGAAAAAUAACAGCGCGGUUUUAGAAUUCGCUAGGAUGUUUCUGGUGAUUUUAUGCGGAAAUGAAUUCCUCAUGUUUAAUUAGGAAUCUGCAGUAUAGCAAAUUGCCAUGGACAAGCAAUUUUGAUUAUUCAUUAACAUACCAAUUGUAAUUUGUUACAAAUGUGAUAAGUCAAUGAUAGGUUUUUGAGAUAAGGGGAAGAUAAAAGAAAAACAGACUUUGGUGGGAGCAUAAAGUUUUUGUAAGCAUAUCCCCUGUAAGCAUAUUUUACUGCAUUUUUAGUUUCUUAAUGUGCCAGGUUUUGUACCUGAUAUCACCUUAAACUAUAUAAGAAAAAUUUUUUUUAUGAACAUGUUUGCCAUUCGAAAUGUGAUCUAUGGGUGUCCUAUUGAAUAAGCUGCAAGCACUGUGAUCACAAACUCUUUCUUUGUUCUACAGGUCCAGUGUUUGAGUUGGUGUCCAUCUGAUUCUUCCUCCCUUCUGUCUGGUUCUUUUGACAAAACUGUGAAAAUGUAUGACUGUAGAAAUCCAAACAAGGAUUUCAAAAGCUGGACUCUAAAUGGAGAGGUGGAAAAUGUUCUUUGGGACAGAUUUAAUACAACAAAUUUUUAUGCAACAACAGAUAAAGGGUAUGUGUUCUACAUGGACCAGAGGUCAGACAAACCAGUGUUCACACUCUCAGCCCACAGUGAGGCUGUGACAGGAAUCUGCCAAAGUUCCUCAGUCCCAGGUUUAUUGGUCACAACAUCCACAGACAAAACCAUGAAGAUAUGGGACGUCCAGGAUAACAAGCCCUCAACAGUACUGGAGAGAAACCUCAGACUGAAUCAGCUGUUCUGUGUGGAUUCCUGCCCAGAGGCUCCCUUUGUAUUUGCUGUUGGUGGAGAGAAAGAAAUCAAAGUCUGGGACAUCAGAGAAAGUGCAACAGUGAGGAAUCAUUUUGCUGACCGAGCACCAGUGGGCGUUACAAUGGAAGGGGAGGGGGAUAUAAAAGAAGAGGUGGAGCAAGCCAUGAGGGACAUGAUGAUUGACAAAGAGGAGGAGGAAGAUGUCAACACACUGCUGGGGGAGGGGGCAACGGCAGGUGCCCCCACAAACAAAAAGAAAAAGAAGAAAAAGAGAAAGAAAGGCCAGAAAAAGGACUAGUCAGCAGCAUUUUAUUUGAGAUAUUUUUAAGGGGGUGGGGUAUGUGAAGGGACUGGGUAUAAAAGGGUUUGAUGGAAUGAUGGCUUUUGCUUCUUGUUGUGGAUAUUGGAAAUUGGGGACUUUUGUCCAAGAAUUGAAAUUGGAGGUAUUGCCAUAUCAUCACAAUGACCUUGUGUUACAAAUCCUUGUUUUGACGAAUGUUACAGAUCAAAAAUAAAAAUGCCAUGUU
rnacentral:misc_RNA from 1 species